rnacentral:rRNA from 1 species
CCUACGCGAGGCAGCAGUGGGGAAUAUUGCACAAUGGGGGAAACCCUGAUGCAGCGACGCCGCGUGAGUGAAGAAGUAUUUCGGUAUGUAAAGCUCUAUUAGCAGGGAAGAAAAUGACGGUACCUGAUGAAGAAGCCCCGGCUAAAUACGUGCCCGCAGCCGCGGUAAUACGUAGGGGUCAAGCGUUAUCCGGAUUUACUGGGUGUAAAGGGAGCGUAGACGGCAGCACAAGUCUGGAGUGAAAUGCCGGGGCUUAACCCCGGAACUGCUUUGGAAACUGUGCAGCUAGAGUGCAGGCGAGGUAAGUGGAAUUCCUAGUGGAGCGGUGAAAUGCGUAGAUAUUAGGAGGAACACCAGUGGCGAAGGCGGCUUACUGGACUGUAACUGACGUUGAGGCUCGAAAGCGUGGGGAGCGAACAGGAUUAGAUACCCUGGUAGUC